rnacentral:pre_miRNA from 1 species
AUCACCCAGAGAUCUUGUUAAAAUGCAGAUUCUCAUCCAAUAAAUCUGGGGUGGGACCCAGAUCCUACAUUUCUAACAAGUUUUCAAGUGAUGUCCA